AUCGCCAGGAGAUCAAUUUCAAAAUCGUACAUGGUUCUUGCCUUUUACCAGAACCAUCCGGGAAUUGUCUUCAAUACAAAUGGUGUAUCAACUAGUUUUUGGAAACCUUUCCACUUCAAAUCAC
rfam:Pichia stipitis CBS 6054 chromosome 1 PICSTchr_1.2, whole genome shotgun sequence.